UGAAUGAAGUAAAAGGAUGCCUCAUCAUCACACGUUGGAAAUAAUACCUUGAGUGCUGAAAACCUCAGCAGCUAAAAAGCCAGCAAGUCAAGGAGAAGGUUUGAGCGAGUGGUGGAUUGCUCCUGGUUCGAUCUGGCUCUUGCGAACUGGUAGUAACGGCGGUGGGAGGCUCUGGCCAGACGUCAUCACGGAUGAUCUGUGCAUGCGCAGAAGCGCAUGUGCGCUCCCAUUGCAAACCGGUAACGGAGGAUGGAAAUUCAAGGGGAAAAUAGGGGUCUUUUGUACUAGUACUCUGCCUGAAACUUUGCCUGAAAACCAAUUUCCAGCCUAGAAGAGGAACAGAAUGGAAGAUUAAAGGCAAAUAAAUGAGGAUGCCAUCACAAAACAAAUACAAAGAAGAAAUGUGAAUAUGUCAAGAGGAAGGAGGAAAUUUAGAAAGUAAUAUCUGGAUGGAGUUCAUCAGUUUAAUCCACCAAAAAAUGAAACAUUGUGAGGAGAAAUAAUAUAAUUAAACUAUGAUAAAGA